UAUAAUAUUUGAAUAUAUGAAAAAGGCUACUGGACUUCAUUGAAAAGCAAGAUGAAAACAACCACACAUCUCAGUAAACAAAUUAUUCAAUUGAGGUUUAGUGAAUUAACCAGUAAAUAAUCAGCUCUGAUUUUACAGUUUCAUGAUUCUAA